UAAUACGUAGGUGGCNAGCGUUGUUCGGAAUCAUUGGGCGUAAAGGGCAUGUAGGUGGUUUUACAAGUGUGAGUUGAAAUACCGAAGCUUAACUUCGAGUAUGGCUUGCAAACUGUAAGACUGGAGUGUAGAAGGGGAGACUGGAAUUCCGCGUGUAGCAGUGAAAUGCGUAGAUAUGCGGAGGAACACCGAUGGCGAAGGCACCUCUCUGGGUCCAUACUGACGCUGAGAUGCGAAAGCGUGGGGAGCGAACAGGAUUAGAUACCCUGGUAGUCCACGCCCUAAACGAUGUCGACUGGUCGUUGGGGGGUAUGAACUUCUCAGUGACGUAGCUAACGUGGUAAGUCGACCGCCUGGGGAGUACGGCCGCAAGGUUG
rnacentral:rRNA from 1 species